UGGGCGAAAGCCUGACGCAGCAACGCCGCGUGGGGGAUGAAGGUUCUCGGAUUGUAAACCCCUUUCGACCGGAACGAAUCUCCUCCUGGUGAAUAAUCAGGAGGAUCGACGGUACCGGGAGAAGAAGCCACGGCUAACUCUGUGCCAGCAGCCGCGGUAAGACAGAGGUGGCGAGCGUUGUUCGGAUUUAUUGGGCGUAAAGCGAACGCAGGUGGUUUGGUAAGUCAGAGGUGAAAGCCCACAGCUUAACUGUGGCACUGCCUUUGAUACUGCCUUUCUAGAGUGCAUGAGGGGGAAGCGGAAUUCCGAGUGUAGAGGUGAAAUUCGUAGAUAUUCGGAGGAACACCGGUGGCGAAGGCGGCUUCCUGGCAUGCAACUGACACUCAUGUUCGAAAGCGUGGGGAGCAAACAGGAUUAGAUACCCUGGUAGUCCACGCCCUAAACGAUGGGCACUAGGUGUGGGAGGUAUCGACCCCUUCCGUGCCGCAGCUAACGCAUUAAGUGCCCCGCCUGGGG
rnacentral:rRNA from 1 species